rnacentral:lncRNA from 1 species
AAAAGAAGCAGCAGCAGCCCUGAGUUAUUCAAUCACUUACCCAAAGUCACAGGACAAAUGGAGUUGUCCCAGAUCCUGGAGGUGCUAAAGCCAACACUAGGAGAAACACCACUAAUAGUCCAAUUUAUCCUGGGGAAAAAGAAUUCCCCAGGAAUAUCCCUUAUUAGAAAAAUUCUUUAAGCUCAACAGAGCCAAUUUUCCCAUUAUUAGAAGCAGUCCCUGUUCUUUCCAGUGGACUCUGAUGUAUGUGGAGGUCAUGUCACAUGACAAGUGAAUCUUAUUAUUUAUUUAUUUAUUUUCGGUAAGUAAUCUCUACACCCAAUGUGGGGCUCAAACUCACAGCCCUGAGAUUAAGAGUCACAUGCUCUACCCACUGAGCCGGCCAGGCACCCCAAGUGAAUCUUUAAAUGCUAAAUCAGACACAAGUGUAACGAUGUUCACACUCAGAAAAGAAUUUGGAAAAUGAAGCCUGGGAAGACUAUAUUCCUAUUUCCCAAUGAAGACUUUCCCAUACUAAUUAAAUGAUUACACUUCCCUUCGUCUCCUCUUCUUCCUUUGCUUCUCUCCUUCUUUUUCUCCCUCUCUCCUUCCUCAGGUUGAAGCGUUCGUUAUUUAAGGCAAAUGUAUAUAUUUCCUGACUCCACGAUGUUGAUGGGCCCAUAGGAAUACAAGAGGUUCUGGAACAGUGGGAACAGAGAGGAAAUUUUAAGAAUAAUAAGCACCUGCUAUCAAAGAAUCUGCCUGCGAUUGAGUAUUGCUUUUUUAAUAAAGGAGAUGAAGAUUACAGUUCAUAUGCAUAUAUGAUGGCUUACCAACAUAUUAAAAGUGGAAAACCAACAAAUAAAUUGGAAAGCCUAUGUAAGGACAAACGCAGCACCAAGAUAGAAUGAAGGAAACUCAAAAUAAUGGGUGAAGAGUUAAGGAAAAUCUAGCAUGGAGACUUCUGCAAACAUACCUCCACUCUUUGGGAAAGUCUGUUCAGUGAACAUGGGGUGCUAAGGGAGGACGAAAAUAAUCUCUUAACUUGAUAGAUUAACCUGAUUAAACCCUGAUGGAUGGGUUAGCAAUAGUCAAAUAUUAAUCAUAUUGAUAUCCAAGUAACUUCCACAGAACAUUAUUUCAGUUAAAAAAAAAGUAUUUUUGUGAAAACUGGUUGGAAAAAUGUCCAAUGAAUAAGUCAGGAUGUAAAAUUGUAUUUAUAGUAGUACAAAGAAGGUUUUUUUAAAAAAUAAAAUAAUCUAAGCAUUAAAAAAGUAACUGGAAGAAAAUCUACCAGCAGUCUAUCCAUGAAGGGUAGUGGGACAAAGAGUAAGCUGUUUUUCCUACUUCUUUCUUUCUGUAUUUCUAAAAUUUUAAAAAUAAGUGUAUUACUUUUGAUAUGAAAUAACAGUAAAGCCACAGUAAUAAAAGUUUUUAAAUAACUAUCUUUUCAUAGAUCAAUCAAAUAAUUUGAGAGAUUGUUCUUGUGGGAUUUUUGACUGAGAAUUUAAGAGCUUUGGUCUCCAUAAAACGUUGUGUUUGCCAGAUUCGAUUGAAUUUUUGUCUUCGUCAUACAGAUAUUGAAGAGAGAGACAUAAUUAAAAUAAAUUUCAAUGUAUUAGACAAAACAUUCAUUUUUUUUAUUUUUAGUAAUCUCUACCUUUAGUAAUCAACAUGGGGCUAGAACUCAAUGACCCUGAGACCAAGAGUCGCAUGCUCUACUGAUUGAGCCAGCCAGAUUCCCUUUAGAUCAUAAUUUUAGAUUUAGAUUGUUGGAUGAAAAAUAAUAGAUGUGGGCCCCUGGAUGACUCAGUCAGUAGUGUGUGCAACUCUUGAUCUUAGGGUUGUAAGUUCGAGCCACACGUUGGGUUGUAGAGAUUACUUAAAAAUAAAAUCUUAACUAACUAAAUAAAUAAAAUUAUGAUCUAAUACUAUAAUUAAAAAAAGGAGCACUCCUUAAAUAUUAUUUGUUUAUUUAUUUAUUUAUUUGUUCAUUCAUUCAUUCAUUCAUUCAUUCAUUCAUCAGUGCUACUUAUAAUGAGGAAGAAUUGGAAGAGGAUGCAAGGGGAAUAGUUAUUGAAAUUGGAAUGUAGAUACUUUGUAUUAGACAAGCAUUAUACAUGCUACUUCUUCCUCUC